rnacentral:rRNA from 1 species
UACGAAGGGGGCUAGCGUUGCUCGGAAUCACUGGGCGUAAAGCGCACGUAGGCGGACUCUUAAGUCAGGGGUGAAAUCCUGGAGCUCAACUCCAGAACUGCCUUUGAUACUGGAGACCUUGAGUCCGGGAGAGGUGAGUGGAAUUGCGAGUGUAGAGGUGAAAUUCGUAGAUAUUCGCAAGAACACCAGUGGCGAAGGCGGACUCACUGGCCCGGAACUGACGCUGAGACGCGAAAGCGU